GCUCUUCCCUUCUGUGGCCUGAUUACAGGCUGCUAUCUGUGCUUUUGCUUCUGUUGCUGCUUCAACUUCUGCUGCGGCAAAUGCAAACACGACCUCCAGAUGAGACCGGGACUACCAUAAUCUCAACCCUGACCAAGCUGAGGGAGUUCAUACCAGUCAGCCUGGGACAUCAAGUAAGAAAGAGGACCUGAGUGACGAUGAGGAAGGAAAGGGCCGCAGGAGAACACCU